UACGUAGGUGGCAAGCGUUGUCCGGAAUUAUUGGGCGUAAAGCGCGCGCAGGCGGCCUCUUAAGUCUGAUGUGAAAGCCCACGGCUCAACCGUGGAGGGUCAUUGGAAACUGGGAGACUUGAGUGCAGAAGAGGAGAGUGGAAUUCCAUGUGUAGCGGUGAAAUGCGUAGAUAUAUGGAGGAACACCAGUGGCGAAGGCGGCUCUCUGGUCUGUAACUGACACUGAGGUGCGAAAGCGUGGGGAGCAAACAGG
rnacentral:misc_RNA from 1 species